rnacentral:rRNA from 1 species
AUUGAACGCUGGCGGCAGGCCUAACACAUGCAAGUCGCACGAGUGGCGGACGGGUGAGUAAUGUCUGGGAAACUGCCUGAUGGCGGGGGAUAACUACUGGAAACGGUAUCUAAUACCGAAUACCAUCAGAUGUGCCCAGAUGGGAUUAGCUAGUAGGUGGGGUAACGGCUCACCUCGGCGACGAUCCCUAGCUGGUCUGAGCGGAUGACGAGACAAGCUGGACCUGAUCAACGGUCCAGAAUCGUACGGCGGGCGGCGGUGGGGAAUAUUGGACAAGGGGGGCAAGCCUGAGGAAGCCAUGCGGCGUGUAUGAAGAGGGCCUUCGGGUUGUAAAGUACUUUCAGCGGGAAGGCGUUACCGGCAGAAGAAGCACCGGCUAACUCCGUGCCAGCAGCCGCGGUAAUAC